rfam:Desulfotomaculum ferrireducens strain GSS09, complete genome.
CAACCCGCAUCGUGAGGUGUCGGCUGAGUCGGCAGAAGUCAGCAGAGGCCAUAGUACUCCUAACGAGGAAGGGC